UUGCAAUUCUCGCGAAGUUUUUUUCAUUCUUCAACCUGCCGUAAGAAUGACACGUUUGUACACCUAUGUCACAUGGGCUUUUGACAGCUGUGUUUCGUGACGGUGAUUGGCUGCGGCUAUUUCGCGACGGCAGAAAACGCCAUAUUGGUCGCACUUUCCCUCCACGCCCUCCGCAGUCCGCUGCUGUGCUGCGAUCGCUGUGAUGUCUGACGGGGCGGGGCGUCAAUGACGCGGGGGCGCGGGAAGCGCGAAACUUUAGGAAGCGGGAUCGCGCGGACGCGCGCAGCCUCGGGCAGACACUUACCCUCGGCCAACAAACGUGUAUUCUUAACAGUGUAAUUUUCAACAAGACGCCAGCAUCUAAAUUUGCAACCAUAUGUAUUUCCUCACGAUUAUAAAAUAAUUAUUGAUUCAUGUGUACUAAUUAUAAAGUAAAUCACAGUAACAAGCAGACUGCCCACAUGACAUGAAAACUUUCUAUGAAA